rnacentral:rRNA from 1 species
UACGUAGGUGGCGAGCGUUGUCCGGAUUUACUGGGCGUAAAGGGAGCGUAGGCGGACUUUUAAGUGAGAUGUGAAAUACCCGGGCUCAACUUGGGUGCUGCAUUUCAAACUGGAAGUCUAGAGUGCAGGAGAGGAGAAUGGAAUUCCUAGUGUAGCGGUGAAAUGCGUAGAGAUUAGGAAGAACACCAGUGGCGAAGGCGAUUCUCUGGACUGUAACUGACGCUGAGGCUCGAAAGCAUGGGGAGCAAACAGGAUUAGAUACCCGU